AAUUAAACGGCCGCGGUACCCUAACCGUGCAAAGGUAGCGUAAUCAUUUGUCUAUUAAUUGUAGACCCGUAUGAAAGGCAUAAUGAGGGUUUAACUGUCUCUUUUAGUAAAUCAAUUAAACUGAUCUCCUAGUCCAAAAGCUAGGAUACCAACAUAAGACCAGAAGACCCUGUGAAACUUUAACUAAAAUAUUAAAGCCUAUAAUAACUACUUUAGGUUGGGGCGACCUUGGAAAAUAAAAGAACUUCCACACACAUAUUAUAUAAUAAUAUAUAACCGGCCAACAAGCCUACAACGACCCAGCACAGCUGACAAUUGAACCAAGCUACUCCAGGGAUAACAGCGCUAUCUUCUUCAAGAGCCCAUAUCAAAAAGAAGGUUUACGACCUCGAUGUUGGAUCAGGACAUCCUGAUGGUGCAACCGCUAUUAAGGGUUCGUUUGUUCAACGAUUAAUAGUCCUACGUG
rnacentral:rRNA from 1 species